AUCUCUCUAACACCGGUACUAAUAAGGAACCACAAACCAUAGUUUUAAGCUGAAGAAAGAAGCAACCACACUCAGAAAUAUAUUGUACUUCAAAAUAGUUACUAGAAGCACUGCAAGCACACUUUCUAUCUACCAAACCUGAAAAAGUAACCCCCAACCCCUCCCCCGUUCCUAGGCUUGCAAAAUUGGGUUUGCGGGAGAACAAAAUUGAGCAUCAAGGUUCAAAGAAAG
rnacentral:lncRNA from 1 species